rnacentral:rRNA from 1 species
UGGGGAAUAUUGCGCAAUGGGCGGAAGCCUGACGCAGCGACGCCGCGUGGGGGAUGACGGCCUUCGGGUUGUAAACCUCUUUCAGCGGGGACGAAGCCUUUCGGGGUGACGGUACCUGCAGAAGAAGCGCCGGCUAACUACGUGCCAGCAGCCGCGGUAAUACGUAGGGCGCGAGCGUUGUCCGGAAUUAUUGGGCGUAAAGAGCUCGUAGGCGGUUUGUCGCGUCGGAUGUGAAGGCCCACGGCUUAACUGUGGGUCUGCAUUCGAUACGGGCAGACUAGAGGCAGGUAGGGGAGCAUGGAAUUCCCGGUGUAGCGGUGAAAUGCGCAGAUAUCGGGAGGAACACCGGUGGCGAAGGCGGUGCUCUGGGCCUUGCCUGACGCUGAGGAGCGAAAGCGUGGGGAGCGAAC